rnacentral:rRNA from 1 species
UACGGAGGGUGCAAACGUUGCUCGGAAUCAUUGGGCGUAAAGCGCACGUAGGCGGCCGAUUAAGUCGGAUGUGAAAGCCCUGGGCUCAACCCAGGAAGUGCAUUCGAAACUGAUCGGCUUGAAUAUGGAAGAGGGUCGCGGAAUUCCCGGUGUAGAGGUGAAAUUCGUAGAUAUCGGGAGGAACACCAGUGGCGAAGGCGGCGACCUGGACGGACACUGACGCUGAGACGCGAAAGCGUGGGGAGCAAACAGG